UAGAGUCUUCUUCUUUUUCUUUGGUAAAUGUACGUACAAAUCGAAUGGUUAACAUGUUUAACUUAGAACUAUAGUCGUCUUGUUCUAUUAUACAGUGAAGUCGUAAAGAUAUGCUACUUAGCGUAAUAUGAGAAUGUAUUAUUUUUCGUGCAAGGUGAAAAGAGAAAAUGAGGCUUGCUCCCGGCCUCCGCUGAUACGAGCAGCGCUUUGACGUCUGCAGUAAUAAUAAAUAAGGAAUCAAAACAAACUAAAAAACUAAAUAACAAAGUGGUCUGUUAAAACAGUGUCGAACAGAGGGUAUAAAAGUGAUAGUUUUUAAAUAUAAUUGUAUGCUUAAUGUAUAGUUUAUCACAGUUAAUCGAGUGCUCAAAGAGCUUUUUUUUAUGUGUAGUAAAAUAACAUUAUCACAGAUAAAUGUAUCAUAUAAUAAUAAUCGAGUGCUCAGUGAGCUUAUAUGUAAAAACAAUUAUAUGGAACCUUAUGUGCCAGACGCGAUUUUUUGGUAGAAUUGUGGCAAGUUGUGGUCAAGAAGGCUUUCAGGCGUUUCGUUCAAAAUUCCUACAGAUGAUAGAUAGUUUUCAUGCGUGGCAAGUUUUUCGACGAAUGUUAAUUGUUGGCGUUGGGCAUAUUCACAAAGAGGAACAACAUUUGACGCAGUAUAAAUGACUUCUAAUUCUUUGGCCACUGUUGGGGAAAUAGAGAACCAGAUCGGAAAUCCAUAGAGCAAAAUCGGACGGAUUGCUACCUUGUAGAGGAGGAGUUUUGUUUUUUGAGGUAGGUGUUUAUUGUUUAACACAUAUGCAAAUCUUGCUAAAACACCUUUUCCUUUUUUCAUGAUUGAGCGGGCAUGGAAAUUAAAUUUCAUUAAGUUGUUGAAUUGGAUGCCGAGAUAUUUGAAAGAGGUUCUGAAUGGUAUGUUUACGCCAUCCAAGGACAGUUGUAGUGAUUUGCUCUCUGGGACAACGUACCAUGGACAUUUUCCGGAGGCGUUACGUAUGCAGAUUGCAACAGACUUCGCGGCGUUUAUUUGUAUACCCCA